AUUGAACGCUGGCGGCAUGCUUUACACAUGCAAGUCGAACGGUAACAGGUUAAGCUGACGAGUGGCGAACGGGUGAGUAAUGCAUCGGAACGUGCCCGAUCGUGGGGGAUAACGCAGCGAAAGCUGCGCUAAUACCGCAUACGAUCUGAGGAUGAAAGCGGGGGACCGUAAGGCCUCGCGCGAUCGGAGCGGCCGAUGUCAGAUUAGGUAGUUGGUGGGGUAAAGGCUCACCAAGCCAACGAUCUGUAGCUGGUCUGAGAGGACGACCAGCCACACUGGGACUGAGACACGGCCCAGACUCCUACGGGAGGCAGCAGUGGGGAAUAUUGGACAAUGGGCGAAAGCCUGAUCCAGCCAUGCCGCGUGUGUGAAGAAGGUCUUCGGAUUGUAAAGCACUUUAAGUUGGGAGGAAGGGUUGUACGUUAAUACCGUGCAAUUUUGACGUUACCGACAGAAUAAGCACCGGCUAACUCUGUGCCAGCAGCCGCCGUAA
rnacentral:rRNA from 1 species